AUUGAACGCUGGCGGCACGCCUAACACAUGCAAGUCGAGCGGUAACAUGGUCUGUAGCAAUACAGAUUGAUGACGAGCGGCGGACGGGUGAGGAACACGUAGGAACCUGCCCUCAAGCGGGGGAUAACCAAGGGAAACUUUGGCUAAUACCGCAUAAUCCCGAGAGAGAAAAGAUACCCGCAAGGGCGGCACUUGAGGAGGGGCCUGCGUCCGAUUAGCUAGUUGGUGAGGUAACGGCUCACCAAGGCGAUGAUCGGUAACUGGUCUGAGAGGACGACCAGUCACACUGGGACUGAGACACGGCCCAGACUCCUACGGGAGGCAGCAGUGGGGAAUAUUGGACAAUGGGGGCAACCCUGAUCCAGCGAUGCCGCGUGAGUGAAGAAGGCCCUCGGGUCGUAAAGCUCUUUAGGUUGGGAAGAAGGUCAUAUGGUGCAUAGCCAUGUGAUUUGACGGUACCGACAGAAUAAGCACCGGCAAACUCUGUGCCAGCAGCCGCAGUAA
rnacentral:rRNA from 1 species